rnacentral:rRNA from 1 species
AACGAACGCUGGCGGCAUGCCUAACACAUGCCAGUCGAACGAGACCUUCGGGUCUAGUGGCGCACGGGUGCGUAACGCGUGGGAACCUGCCCUUAGGUUCGGAAUAACUCCCCGAAAGGGGUGCUAAUACCGGAUAAUGUCUUCGGACCAAAGAUUUAUCGCCUUUGGAUGGGCCCGCGUUGGAUUAGCUAGUUGGUAGGGUAAAAGCCUACCAAGGCGGCGAUCCAUAGCUGGUCUGAGAGGAUGAUCAGCCACACUGGGACUGAGACACGGCCCAGACUCCUACGGGAGGCAGCAGUGGGGAAUAGUGGACAAUGGGCGAAAGCCUGAUCCAGCAAUGCCGCGUGAGUGAUGAAGGCCUUAGGGUUGUAAAGCUCUUUUACCCGGGAUGAUAAUGACAGUACCGGGAGAAUAAGCUCCGGCUAACUCCGUG